AAAAUCGGUGCUUUUUAGAGAUUGGAUCCGCGCGGAAAGAAGAAACUUUGGAAUUGUAUAAUCACAACCGGCGAUAGAUGAAGCUUAUGAAGAAAUGAUAGCGGAACUUUCGGAGGAUUCGGCUUCGCCCGGAAGUGGUGAUGAACAAGCUUCGUUUCCACCAGCACCAACACAACCUCCUCCCAACCUUGACGGAUUUAUGAGAAUUGUUAGAGAUACAAUGUAGAUUAUGAUUUAACUUGUACAUUGGCAGAUCUUCUUUUAGUUUUUUUUUUCCUUUUAAUGGUGGUAUUAGUACCUUGUU
rnacentral:lncRNA from 1 species